GGAAAGGAGAAUGAGGAGGCAACAGGAAUUCGGGGGUGAUGAGGGCAAGAGGAAGAUAAAGUUAGCUGAAAGGUUAAUCAUCCCUGGUCCAUCAAACAAUCUUCAUAUGAUGUGAACUGAAGAUUCUUCAUCAUUCUAGUUGCUUUCUGUUGGAUGAUCUCAAGCUUAUUCAUGUUUUUCCUAAAUGUAGCAGCCAGAACAGAAAACAAUAUUCCAGGUGUGGUCUCACUAGGACACAGUACAACAGGAUGACCACUCCACAUUCUUGGAAGGCCUAAACUAAAGGUUGGAGAUUGGGAUUCUAUCAACCUUUAGAGGAUAGUAGUCCAAGGGUUUACAGAGAGAGAAGAGAAAGGUCUAUUCUAUCCCAACCUCAUCUGCCCUCCAACAGUGGAACGACAUGCAAUAUCUUUUCCAGUCAUCUUUCCUGGGAUACUUGGCCACC